CAGUAGCCGCGGUAAUACGUAGGGUGCGAGCGUUAAUCGGAAUUACUGGGCGUAAAGCGUGCUCAGGCGGUUGUGUAAGACAGGUGUGAAAUCCCCGGGCUUAACCUGGGAACUGCGCUUGUGACUGCACAGCUAGAGUAUGGCAGAGGGGGGUGGAAUUCCACGUGUAGCAGUGAAAUGCGUAGAGAUGUGGAGGAACACCGAUGGCGAAGGCAGCCCCCUGGGCCAAUACUGACGCUCAUGCACGAAAGCGUGGGGAGCAAACAGGAUUAGAUACCCCGGUAGUCCCUGUCUCUUAUAC
rnacentral:rRNA from 1 species